UGGGGAAUAUUGCGCAAUGGGGGGAACCCUGACGCAGCCAUGCCGCGUGAAUGAAGAAGGCCUUCGGGUUGUAAAGUUCUUUCGGUAUUGAGGAAGGUUGAUGUGAUAAUAGCACAUCAAAUUGACGUUAAAUACAGAAGAAGCACCGGCUAACUCCGUGCCAGCAGCCGCGGUAAUACGGAGGGUGCGAGCGUUAAUCGGAAUAACUGGGCGUAAAGGGCACGCAGGCGGUUAUUUAAGUGAGGUGUGAAAGCCCCGGGCUUAACCUGGGAAUUGCAUUUCAGACUGGGUAACUAGAGUACUUUAGGGAGGGGUAGAAUUCCACGUGUAGCGGUGAAAUGCGUAGAGAUGUGGAGGAAUACCGAAGGCGAAGGCAGCCCCUUGGGAAUGUACUGACGCUCAUGUGCGAAAGCGUGGGGAGCAAACAGGAUUAGAUACCCUGGUAGUCCACGCUGUAAACGCUGUCGAUUUGGGGGUUGGGGUUUAACUCUGGCGCCCGUAGCUAACGUGAUAAAUCGACCGCCUGGGGAGUGCGGCCGCAAGGUUA
rnacentral:rRNA from 1 species